rnacentral:rRNA from 1 species
UACGUAGGGAGCGAGCGUUGUCCGGAUUUACUGGGUGUAAAGGGUGCGUAGGCGGCUCUGCAAGUCAGGUGUGAAAACUAUGGGCUUAACUCAUAGAUUGCACUUGAAACUGUGGAGCUUGAGUGGAGUAGAGGCAGGCGGAAUUCCCGGUGUAGCGGUGAAAUGCGUAGAGAUCGGGAGGAACACCAGUGGCGAAGGCGGCCUGCUGGGCUUUAACUGACGCUGAAGCACGAAAGCAUGGGUAG